rnacentral:rRNA from 1 species
AGCGAACGCUGGCGGCAGGCCUAACACAUGCAAGUCGAACGAACCUUUCGGGGUUAGUGGCGGACGGGUGAGUAACACGUGGGAACGUGCCUUUAGGUUCGGAAUAACUCAGGGAAACUUGUGCUAAUACCGAAUGUGCCCUUCGGGGGAAAGAUUAAUCGCCUUUAGAGCGGCCCGCGUCUGAUUAGCUAGUUGGUUGAGGUAAUGGCUCACCAAGGCGACGAUCAGUAGCUGGUCGGAGAGGAUGAUCAGCCACAUUGGGACUGAGACACGGCCCAAACUCCUACGGGAGGCAGCAGUGGGGAAUCUUGCGCAAUGGGCGAAAGCCUGACGCAGCCACGCCGCGUGAAUGAUGAAGGUCUUAGGAUUGUAAAAUUCUUUCACCGGGGACGAUAAUGACGGUACCCGGAGAAGAAGCCCCGGCUAACUUCGUG